GACAGAGGCCUCAAGCGUUAGGCGGAAUCACUGGGCUUAAAGCGUGUGUAGGCGGAUCGUUAAGUACCUUGUGAAAUCCCACGGCUCACCCGUGGAACUGCUGGGUAUACUGGCGGUCUUGGGCCAACUAGGGGCAGCUGGAACAAGCGGUGGAGCGGUGAAAUGCGUAGAUAUCGCUUGGAACGCCGAAGGUGAAAACAGGCUGCUGGGGUUGUGCCGACGCUGAGACACGAAAGCCAGGGGAGCAAACGGG
rnacentral:rRNA from 1 species